CUGGAGACAGGUGCUGCAUGGCUGUCGUCAGCUCGUGUCGUGAGAUGUUGGGUUAAGUCCCGUCAACGAGCGCAACCCUUGCCUUUUAGUUUGCCAGCAGUUCGGCUGGGCACUCUAAAGGGAACUGCCGGUGUUAAACCGGAGGAAGGUGGGGAGUGACGUCAAGUACCUCAUGGCCGUUUAUGACCAGGGCUACACACGUACUACAAUGGCCGAUACAAAGGGCAGCGACACUGCGAGGUGAAGCCAAUCCCGUAAAAUCGGUCUCAGUCCGGAUUGGAGUCUGCAACUCGACUCCAUGAAGUUGGAAUCGCUAGUAAUCGUGGAUCAGCAUGCCACGGUGAAUACGUUCCCGGGCCUU
rnacentral:rRNA from 1 species